AGUGAACGCUGGCGAUAGGCCUAACACAUGCAAGUCGAACGGCAGCACAGUAAGAGCUUGCUCUUACGGGUGGCGAGUGGCGGACGGGUGAGGUAUACAUCGGAAUCUACUUUUUCGUGGGGGAUAACGUAGGGAAACUUACGCUAAUACCGCAUACGACCUACGGGUGAAAGCAGGGGAUCUUCGGACCUUGCGCGAUUGAAUGAGCCGAUGUCGGAUUAGCUAGUUGGCGGGGUAAAGGCCCACCAAGGCGGCGAUCCGUAGCUGGUCUGAGAGGAUGAUCAGCCACACUGGAACUGAGACACGGUCCAGACUCCUACGGGAGGCAGCAGUGGGGAAUAUUGGACAAUGGGCGCAAGCCUGAUCCAGCCAUACCGCGUGGGUGAAGAAGGCCUUCGGGGUGUAAAGCCCUUUUGUUGGGAAAGAAAAGCAGCAGGUUAAUACCCCGCUGUUCUGACGGUACCCAAAGAAUAAGCACCGGCUAACUUCGUG
rnacentral:rRNA from 1 species